UACGUAGGGGGCUAGCGUUAUCCGGAAUUACUGGGCGUAAAGGGUGCGUAGGCGGUCUUUCAAGCCAGAAGUGAAAGGCUACGGCUCAACCGUAGUAAGCUUUUGGAACUGUAAGACUUGAGUGCAGGAGAGGAGAGUGGAAUUCCUAGUGUAGCGGUGAAAUGCGUAGAUAUUAGGAGGGACACCAGUAGCGAAGGCGGCUCUCUGGACUGUAACUGACGCUGAGGAGCGAAAGCAUGGGUAGCGAACAGGAUUAGAUACCCUGGUAGU
rnacentral:rRNA from 1 species